rnacentral:rRNA from 1 species
UACGUAGGGUGCAAACGUUGUCCGGAAUUAUUGGGCGUAAAGAGCUCGUAGGCGGUCUGUUGCGUCGGCUGUGAAAACCCGGGGCUCAACCCCGGGCCUGCAGCCGAUACGGGCAGACUAGAGUUCGGCAGGGGAGACUGGAAUUCCUGGUGUAGCGGUGAAAUGCGCAGAUAUCAGGAGGAACACCGGUGGCGAAGGCGGGUCUCUGGGCCGAUACUGACGCUGAGGAGCGAAAGCGUGGGAGCGAACAGG